GUUAUUGAUUAGUAUGUGAAUGUAAGUGUUUUUUAUUUGAAAUAUGUUUUAAAAUGAGAAAGUAUUUUUUAGAAAUCGUAUGGAAAAUAAAUAGAGGGGGAAGUUAUAUUUAACGUGUUAUUGAUGUUUAAAUAAGUUUUUUGAUAUUUAUGAUUCGUUUUGAUUGGUCGUUGGUAUUUUUUUUAAGUAGGUUUUUAGGUUUAGUGAGGAAGGUUAGAGU
rnacentral:misc_RNA from 1 species